GACGGCCACCACUUCCGACCUCAGGUGUUCUGUUCCGUGGUGAGGCUGUGCAAAUCAGCGCGCGGGUGAGGGUCCCCACUUCUUUUCCCAAAAUUUCCUUCCUUAGCGCCUCAGAGAUCCAUGCUACGGGAGGCCCAGCAGAGGCUCUCAGCGCCCAGCAGUCCCCUCCCCGCUGCCCUCGGCUCAGAGCUUGGAUCACAGCCACAGUGUCUGCUAGCCUUUAUGAUGCUCCGACGUCUCGGGUUGAGUCACUUCCAGCCCAGGCAGACUGGGGCCGCACCGUCUGAACCCCGGCCCACACUCAGGGGUCCAGAUGGACCAACCCACACCUGUGAGCAAAUGGCGUGCUCACCCUCCCCUCUCCGGGGCGACACUGACACCGGGAAGAGCAACGUUGGCCUCCUCCCAGCGUGGGGGCAGCGGUGGCACCAGGAUCAGAGACGCUGACCAGUUCACACGCCUCUGUCUCCCUGUGACUCCGGCGGCACUCCCAGGCCGCCCUCCUCUGCACUUCAGUAUCUUCCCUGCACCUGCCCACUACAAGAGAGGGGCUCGCUGCUUGCUGCUCCCCAGUCUUGGACCCUGUCUGAAGGCCGCUUUGGCGCCAAAUCCCGAGAUGUGGCAGAACAUCGAGGAUGCAGCAUGGAGACCCCAGACCUACCUGGAAUUGGAGGGCCUGCCUUGCAUCCUCUUCUUCAGUGGGGUGGACCAGCUCAGGGAGUCCUUGUGUUACCACGGCCUGGCUCCAGGUGGCGCCCUUCACUGUCAGCUAUGGUUAUGAUCAACUCCUCAUGCUUGGCAAGAAUGGCCUUGGAGCAGGAGCUGGGCCUGGCCGCCCACUUUGUGAGCAGCGAGCUGCCCUUGGACAAGGGGCCCAGGAGCGAGGCCUUGGAGAGUGACACAGAGACGCUGAGCAACACGAACAAUGAGGAGGAGGAGCAGGGACUGAAGUCCAGCUCUCUGCUGUGGCCUGGGAAAGCAGUAGAAGAUGGACCAAGUGCUUGGGACCCUACAUGCACAUGGGAGACCAGGAAGAAGCAUCUGGCUCCUGGAUUCAGAUCAGCACGGCUCUGUCCAUUGUGGCCACUUGGAGAGUGAACCAACAGAAGGAAGACCUUUCUCUCUGUAUCUCUCUCACACCAUCUUUAGCUCUCUCAAAUAAAUAAAAAAUCUUUUUAAAAAACUGCAUCUUGUAUUUGCCAAGCAAAAUGGACAUGCAAUGUCACCUGUGAAAGGUCAUGUCUUGCACACAAGUGUCAUCUAUGCUUUAUCUGAGGGCAGCUGCCUCAUGCAUCAGGUUUCCCACAGUAAGCAAGGGAAAAAGAGACCUGUGCAAACAGAAUGUGGUCCUAUAGCGACUUGACUUUCUUUCUCUGAUUACAGAUGGACUCAAGAUCCAGUGAAAACUGUACGUGUUCUGGAAUCCCUCAGUUGUUGAGGAAAAGCUGAAGGGAUGAGAGAGUGGGACCUUCCUGCCUGUUCUCUUCUGGUGAUUCAAUCCGAUUCCAGCUUCCUGGUGGAUAACAAGAUCUCGGGUGUGGUGAAAGGAACAGAUAGGCCAGCACAGAGCUAUGGGCAUCUAAGGCAGGCCCUGGAAGUAGCUGUGUCAUUUAGAGAUCGUGUGGGUCUAUGUGCAUCAAUGUUGUGAAGUUUUCAUGAGUGAUCAUGUAUGCUUUUAAAAGUGUGCAUGAGUGUGUGUGUGUGUGUGUGUGUGUGUGUGUUUUCCCCAGGCAAUGCAUUCCUAUGCACAGCUCAAGAUUAACUUCUCAAAAUAGAGAAGAAUCUGAUCAUUUUAUGUAAUUAACUUUAUGUAAUGGACUCAUUCAACCCUAUCCCCGCCUAAUGUCUGACAGAUAAGUUACAUUUCCACAGCUCAGACAGACAUGAUACAUGCACAAAUUGCCCAAGACCUUGAUGGCCAAAGUGAGAGAGGCAAAUAAGUGCCCCCGUUGAUCCUUCUGACUGCAGUGAACUUCGAACCAUGACAUAACUAGCACCACCAUGCAAGGGAGUCCCAGCACUUACGUGCCAAGAAUUAUUAGAUCCACAGAGAUCCUAAAUGCUGUACAUAAUUAUAAGCUGAUCUCUGUUAUCACACAAUCCAAGUAGCAAUAGGUACACCAAAUUGCAGGCUUUGGCAGCAUCAUGAGCAUUGUAACACACAAACAGUAAUCCUCAUCAACUCACAAAUUCUGAGAGGUGUGUGGCACCAUGUCAGAAAGCAAAGAUCAACCUCUGUUAAGUCCAGUCUUUUCAGUACCUGGCCUAAAUAGGCAAGACAAAGGGAGACACUAUUAGGUUUUUUUUUUUUUUUUGACAGGCAAAGUGGACAGUGAGAGAGAGAGAGACGAGAGAAAGGUCUUCCUUUUCUGUUGGCUCACCCCUCAAUGGCUGCUGCGGCUGGUGCACUGCAUUGAUCCAAAGCCAGGAGCCAGGUGCUUCUCCUGGUCUCCCAUGUGGGUGCAGGGCCCAAGCACUUGGGCCAUCCUCCACUGCACUCCCAGGCCACAGCAGAGAGCUGGACAGGAAGAGGAGUGACCAGGACAGAAUCCGGCACUCCAACCGGGACUAGAACCCAGGUGCUGGUGCUGCAGGUGGUGCCUGUUGAGCCGCAGCACCAGACCUUUAUUAGAUUUAAUCGAUCAUCAACAUGAGCCUUAAACAUGUAUGUUUAAAUGCAGCAGCACACACCCUGUACACAAAAGUACUUGUCACCCUGUCACAAAUCCCUUAUGCAGCAUAGUAAGACAUCAUUGCCUACCAAACGCUAACUUUCUUGAUCAAUGAUCCUACCAUUGGCAUUGGGUAGCAUGAACCUGGGGAGCCAAUGACUCAAGGGAUAUGCAUACAUCACAUGGAAAAGAAAGACCAGGAGUUUACCAUAACCCAUUAUAUCCAGGAGGAAUAAACAGAAUAAAUAGAAGGGAGUAGCUCAAAGGCUCCAAACUUAUCAUAAUAAGGAAGGGGGAAUGUUAAUGGUCCUCAUUUGGACCAUAUGUACACUAUACAUAUUUGACACAUCGCACUAUACUCCAAACCUGUGAAAGUAUUUAAUAUCAAUCAAAAGAAUAUAAAAUAUAUUUAGGGAACUGGAAAUGUAAACCAGCCUGAUUUGAUCAUCACAAAUUGUCUACAUAUAAUGAAUUCUUAUGCUAUACUCCGUAAAGAUGUCCCAUUAUAGUAAGUGAAGUAAGCUAGAUGCAGAAAAACAAGUAUGUAUCACAUCAGACAGGACAAAUAUCAAGCACGUAGAAACUGGAGUAGAAUGGUGCUUCCAGAGGCUUGGGUUUAAGGAUAUUGGGAGGUGUUGGCCAAAGUAUACAAAGUUCCAUUUAAAUAGAAUGAAUGAGUUCCUGAGAUUUAACAUAGAAUUUGAUUACAGUUACUAAUAUCAUAGUGUUAGAAUUUGCUAAAUGAAGGAGUAGAUCUUUCAGUAUGGAAGAUGUUAGGUUAAUUAGCUUCAUUGCAUUCCUCAUUUCACAAUAUUUAUGUGUAUUUGUGUAUGUAUAUUUUAUAUAUACAUGUAUAUUUAGUGCAUUGUACUCAUUAAAUAUAGAGAUGGAAGGUAUCUAGUCUAGAAGUUAAGACACCAGUUAUGUGACCAAUGUCUCACAUAGGUGUGACUGGGUUUGAGUCUCAGCUCUGGCUCCCAGUUCCACCUUCCUUUCAAUGUAGACUCUGGGACACAGCAGGUGAUGACUCAAGUAAUUAGGUUUCUAUCACCCUGGAUUGAGUCUCCAGCUCAUGGCUUCAACCCUCAUCUACCCCAGCCUCGGCAGACAUAGAGGCAUUUAUAAGAGGAGUAGAGCACUCUGUCUCUCUCUCAGCAUGGAAAGUACAUACUUUAAAAAAAAUGUUUAAGAUAGAUACACUAAAGAAGAUUUUAAGUGACUGAAUAGGGAAAAGACAUACUGCUUUAGAAGAGAGGAAAACAGCAGCAACAACAACAAAAAGCAGAGGAAGUGCAUUUGCAGAGGAGAGUCAGAGAGAAAUUUGCUCUGGAAAUCCUGCAGAAGGAAGAGGGAGACCAUGGAUCAGCAUGGAAGAUGCCAACACAAAAUAACCAGUGCACACUCCACACACAACUCCUGCAGUUGAGAGCUGGGGUAUUUGUCUGCAUUGGAGAGUGGGGUGACAGGAGACUGAGGCAGCCUGUGCCACUGGUGAUACUGCCAGAGGGAGAACCUUGAGGAUCACAUUGUCUUUCAUUCUGGCCUGGAGCGCUAACAGGGGGCAGGGUACCUGUCUAACCCAGCAAAAGAAAAGAGCAAUUCUUUCUCCCCGUGCCCCCACAAGGGCACCUGGCAACUGGUGGGGAGAAGGUGCCAUUUGACCCCAGUAGCAGCUACACGGGUAUGAUCAAGGGAUUUUAUGAAAGAGAAAACUGUGUAUUCCUCAUUGACUUUGAUUCUGGCUGGGAGGUUUGACAGGGCCUAGGCACCCAUGUAGAACUGCGAGGUGACCCAUCAUCUCAACAUAUAGGCUGCAGGGCUCAAACUCUAAGUGGAGCACCCACAGGCAGCUGGCUCUGGAAACGUCUUUGCUCUCUCUGUCAACAGAACAGCGUAGUGGGGUGGAAUUGAUCCUCUGCACUCCCACUCUCCAUGUGGGAGCAUGGCAUGCUGUGGCUCAGAAUUCUCUGACUCUAAGAUAGGGCACAAUGUAUAGCUGGGUCUCUGGGCAAUAACUAUGUCUGGGACCAGAAGCUCAGAGCUCUGCAAUUACCUUCAGUGGGUCCCAGCAGUGGGAUCCAUGCUCACAUUAAGGACUUUACAGAUCUGCUGUGUGGUUCAUGUGGUAGUACAAGUGAGUGUUGUACCCACGGUGGUCUAAGCCUUGGGUUUGAUCACUUUGGAAGAGAGAUGGUAACAAUGUGAAGAUACCAACAGAGGUGACCACACACUUCCCCCUGCUGACAAUAGAGGAGAUCUACCAUGCCAAAGUUGGGUGUUAAUCUGGAUAUUUGCCCUACUCUAGAGCACUGUCCAGAGCUUCCUGGACACUCCUAGAACAUGUCUCUGUAUCAACUGAAAGAACAGUCAUUCCACUAAGCCAAAGGGGGUAUGGUUUAGAAAUAAAAUCCAUCAAAAUAGAAAAGUAACAAAUAUUUCCACAAAUACUUAAAAAUAAAUGCAGAAAUUCAAGAAACAAGAAGACAACAUGACUCCCCCAAAAGAACACAACACUUCAAUAUUAGAAUGUGAAAAUGAUUGAUGAAAAUGCCUGAAAGGGAAUUCAAAAGAAUGAUCAUAGGAUUACUCAGAAGCAAUGAGAAGCAAACUCAUGAGUUAUAGGAUUCUAUAUAUGAGAUGGAGGAAAGAAUUUCCCAUGAGAUUGAGAUUUCAAUUGAGAAGCAGAUAUUAGAAAUGAAGCAUUUGAUAUGUCAAAUGAAAAAUAUAGUGGAAAGCCUUAUCAACAGAUUUGUUGAUGCAGAAGAAAGAAUAUCUGAGCUAGAAGGCAAAUCUUUGGAAAUAUCUUAGAUCAAAAAAAGAUGAAAUUAGAAAAAUUAAAAGCUAUAUUAGAUAUUUAUGGGAUACUAUCAAAUUAUGGGUCAUAAGAGUUUCUGAAGGUGUGGAAAGAGAAUGGUUUAAAAGGCCUAUUCAGUAAAGCAAUUACAGAAAUUUUUACUAAUUUGGAGAAAGUAAGAGAUAUCCAAGUACACAAGGCGCAUAGAGCUCCUAAUAGACAUGACCAGAAAAACGCCUUAUCACAAUACAUUGUAGUCAAACUUUUAACAGUAAAAUAUAAAGAGAAGUUUCUAAAAUGCAUACAAGAGACAUGCCAGAUUACUUUCAGAGGACCUUCAAUUACAUUCACAGCUGAUUUCUCACCAGAAACACUAGGGGCUGGAGAAAAUGGAGAAACAACUCAAGAACAUCUAGAAAAUACACAAACACAUGCAGACUAAUCAACAUGCUUCUGAAUGAACAGUGGAUUGCAGAAGAAAUCAAAUUGGAAAUAAAAAUAUUCCUAAACAAAUGAAGAUGACAAUACAAAAUAUUAAAACUUACAGGAUACAGUGAAAGCAGUGUUAAAAUUGCAGUUUAUAGAAAUUGGUGCCUGCAUCAAGAAAUUUCAUCUCAGGCCGGUGCCGUGGCUCACUAGCCCAAUCCUCUGCCUGCAGCACUGGCACUUCAGGUUCUAGUCCCAGUUGGGGCACCAGUUUCUGUCCUGGUUGCUCCUCUUCCAGUCCAGUUCUCUGCUGUGGCCCAGGAAGGCAGUGGAGAAUGGCCCAAGUGCUUGGGUCCUGCACCCACAUGGGAGACCAGGAGGAAGCACCUGGCUCCUGGCUUCUGAUCAGUGCAGUUUCAGCCAUUGUGGCCAUCUGGGGGGUGAACCAGCAGAUGGAAGAGCUCUCUCUCUGUCUCUACCUCACUCUGUAACUCUGACUUUCAAAUAAAUGAAAAAAUCUUAAAGAAAAAACAUUCCUCAACACAAUAAAGGCAAUUUAUGACAAACAACACAACAAGCAUCUUAUUGAAUGGGGAAAAGUUGGAAGCGUUUCUACUAAAAUCCAGAAUCAGAAAAAGAUACCCACUUUCACCAGUGCUAUUCAGUAUAGUCCUGGAAGAUUUAGUCAGAGACAUUAGGCAAGAAAAAUAAAUUAAAGGGAUACAAAUUGGCAAGGAGGAAGUCAAAGUAUCCUUGUUUACAGAUGACAUGAUUCUAUAUAUAGUGAAAUUGAAAGAAUACACUAAGAGGCUAUUGGAACUCAGAAAAGUCUGGUCAUUUGUAGGAUAUAAAAUUAAUGCAGCAAAAUCAGUAGCCUUUGUACAACAGAUAAUGCCAUGGCUAGAAAGAACUAAGAUCAAACCCAUUCACAAGAACUACAAAAAAUUAAGUUGCUUGGAAUAAAUUUAAGAAAGGAGGUGAAAGAUCUCUGGGAUUAAAACUACAAAACAUUAAAAAAGAAAUAGAAGCCAAAAAAUGGAAAAAUCUAUGACAUUCAUGGAUUGAAAGAAUUAAUAUCAUUAUGUCCAUACUAUCAAAAGUAAUUUACCAAUUCAAUGAAUUAUCAAUCAAAAUACCAAUGACAUUCUUCUGAGAUCUAGCAGAACAACAGUGCUAAAAUUCAUAUGAAAACAAGAGAACCUGAAUAGCUAAAGUAAUCUUAAACAACAAAAACAAAGCUGGAGGUGUCACAAUACCAGAUCAUAAAAUAUACUACAAGGGGCUGGCACCAUGGCUCACUUGGUUAACCCUCCACCUGUGGUGCCAGCAUCCCAUAUGGGCACAAAGUUCUAGUUCCGGUUGCUCCUCUUCCAGUCCAGCUCUCUCCUGUGGCUUGGGAAGGAAGUGGAGGAUGGCCCAAGUGCUUGGGCCCUGCACCUGCAUGGAGGACCAGGAGGAAGCACCUGGCUCCUGGCUUCGGAUCGGCACAGCACUGGCCGUGGCGUCCAUUUGGCAGGUGAACCAAUGGAAGGAAGACCUUUCUCCCUGUCUCUCUCUCUCUCUCUCACUGUCUAACUCUGCCUGAUGCCACCACAACAGUAGACAUGUACACCAAUGGAACAAAAUAGAAAUUCCAGAAAUCAAUACACACAUCUACAACCAACUGUUCUUUCACAAAGGAGAUAAAAUCCAUCCCAGGAGAAAGAGUAGUCUCUUCAACAAAUGGUGCUGUACAAUUGAAUCUUCUCAUGUAGAAAUUUGAAACUAGACCUUACAUCUCAGAAAAAAAUCUGCUCAAAAUGGAUCAAGGACCCACAACAACAAUGUAAUAUCAUAAAAUUACCAGAGAACAUUGGGAGAAACUUGGCAAAACACUGGCAUAAGCAAAUAAUUUUUGGAAAAGACCCCAGAAGCACAGGCAACCAAAGCUAAAAUUGACAAAUGGGAUUACUUCAAACUGAGUAGCUUCUGUACUGCAAAGGGAAUACUCAGCAAACUGAAAAGGCAACUGACAGAAUGGGAGAAAAUAACUGCAAACUAUGCAACUGAUAAAGGAUUAAGAUCCAGAAUUUAUAAAGAGCUCAAGAAACUCAACAGAAAUAAAGCAAGCGCCGGUGCUGUGGCUCAAUAGGCUAAUCCUCCACCUUGCGGUGCUGGCACAUGGGGUUCUAGUCCCGGUUGGGGUGCAGAUUCUGUCCCGGUUGCCCCUCUUCCAGGACAGCUCUCUGCUGUGGCCGGGAGUGCAGUGGAGGAUGGCCCAAGUGCUUGGGCCCUGUACUCCAUGGGAGACCAGGAGAAGCACCUGGCUCCUGGCUUCACAACAGUGCGAUGCGCCGGCUGCAGCGCGCCGGCCACAGCAGCCAUUGGAGGGUGAACCAAUGGCAAAAGGAAAACCUUUCUCUCUGUCUCUCUCUCUCUCUCUCACUGUCCACUCUGCCUGUCAAAAAUAAAAAAAAAAGAAAUAAAACAAGCAAUACAGUUAACAAAUUGGCAAAGGACUUGAAAGGCAAUUUUCAAGAGAGGCAAUUUAAAUGGCCAACAGACACAUGAGAUGCUCAGGAUAACUAGCUAUCAGGGAAAUGCAAAUAACCACAAUGGUGUUUCACCUCACUCCAGUUAGAAUAUCUCUCAUACAGGAAUCAACAAUAAAUGUUGUCGAGGAUGUGAGGGAAAUGUAACCUAAUCCACUGUUGGUGGGAAUGUAAACUGCUACAGCCAUUUGUGAAGACUGUAUGGAGAUAGCUCAAGAAUCUAGAUCUACCAAAGGCCCAGCAAUCCCACUCCUGGGAAUUUACCUUAAGGAAAUGAAAUCAGCAUAUGAAACAGUUAUCUGCACUUCCAUGUUUAUAGCAGCUCAAUUCACAACAUCUAAGAUAUGAAAUCAGCCCAGAUAUUCAUUAACUGAUGACUGGAUAAAGAAAUUGUGUGGAGGUAGUCAGUCUGGAGAUCCCUCAGAAACCUGAAGAUAACCCUACCGUUCGACCCAGCCAUCCCACUCCUUGGAAUGUACCCAAAGGAAUUUAAAUUGGCAAACAAAAAAGCGGUCUGCACAUUAAUGUUUAUUGCAGCUCAAUUCACAAUAGCUAAGACCUGGAACCGACCUAAAUGCCCAUCAACGGUAGACUGGAUAAAGAAAUUAUGGGAUAUGUACUCUUUAGAAUACUAUACCACAGUAAAAAACAAUGAAAUCUGGUCAUCCGCAACAAAAUGGAGGAAUCUGGAACACAUCAUGCUGAGUGAAAUAAGCCAGUCCCAAAGGGACAAAUACCAUAUGUUCUCCCUGAUCGGUGACAACUGACUGAACACCAAAAAGGAAACCUGCUGAAGUGAAAUGGACACUAUGGGAAACGGUGACUUGAUCAGCAUAGCCCUGACUGUUAAUGAACAACUUAAUACAUUAUCCCUCUUAGUAGUUUUUUUUUGUCUGUUCUACUUAAUAUGACUGGUUUAAUUCUGUAAUUAAUACACAGUUAUUCUUAAGUGUUGAAAUUUAACUGAAAUGUGAUCCCUGUUAAACAUAAGAGUAGGAAUAAGAGAGGGAAGAGAUAUAUAAUUUGGGACAUGCUCAAGCUGACUUGCCCCAAAUGGUAGAGUUAGAAAUAUACCAGGGGACUCCAAUUCAAUCCCAUCAAGGUGGCAUGUACCAAUGCCAUCUCACUAGUCCAAGUGAUCAAUUUCAGUUCACAAUUGAUCAUAAUGAAAGGACUAAGAGUCAAAGGGAGCACAUAAACAAGUCUAGUGCCUGCUAACAGUGACCGAUAGAAUAUAUAAAGGGGAGAGUGAUCCAACAUGGGAAGUGAGAUACUCAGCAGACUCAUAGAAUGGCAGAUGUCCUAAAUAGCACUCUGGCCUCAGAAUCAGCCCUAAAGGCAUUCGGAUCUGGCUGAAAAGCCCAUGAGAGUAUUUCAGGCAUGGAAAGCCAAGACACUCUGGCAAAAGAUCUCUGGGAGUGAGAUCUCAGUGGAAAGAACAGGUCUUCAAAGAAGGAGGUACCUUUCUCUGAAGGGAGGAGAGAACUUCCACUUUGACUAUGACCUUGUCUAAACAAGAUAAGAGUCGGAGAACUCAAGGAGCUUCCAUAGCCUUGGAAACUCAUGACUGGAGCAUAGGGAGAUUACUGAUGCCAUAGACAGGAGUGUCAAUUGGUAAAGUCAACAACAGGAGUCACUGUGCACUUGCUCCUCAUGUAGGAUCUCUGUCCUUAAUGUGCUGUGCAUUGAGAUGUAAUGCUAUAACAAGUACUUAAACAAUAUAUUUCACUUUGUUUUUCUAUGGGGGUGCAAACUGUUGAAAUCUUUACUUAAUGCAUACUAAACUGAUCCUCUGUAAAAAAAAAAAAAUUAUCAACUCCCAACUUGACUCUCACUGGGAUUAAACAUGACAAUAGGUCUGCUCUGAUUUCAUCAUCAUUUAAAAAAUCAUCUAUUAUUUUUCACUUUAUGUUUCUGUGUGGGAGCAAACUGUUGAAAUCCUUACUUAAUGUAUACUAAGCUGAUCUUCUGUAUAUUAAGAUAAUCGAAAAUGAAUCUUGAUGUGAAUGGAAGGGGAGAGGGAGUG